rnacentral:lncRNA from 9 species
AUAAAAUAAAACAGUAGGAUUUCUUGGCCCCUGAACUUCCUAUUCUCCAUCUAGCUCAGUGCCUGGUCCAUGGAGCACCUAUUUGUUGAAUGGAAGGAAAGAAUUACCCAAGUCUAGGUAAAUUAGUAGAUGGGGAUUUGUGCUUAUGAAAAUUGUCCAAAGGAAAAGAAUUAUGGAGACUCCUGAAUUCUUAAAAGUGACAAUUUUCAGGCCCUGAGUACCAUUGUUCAGUUUCUCUGCUUAUAAAAUUGGUCACUGCCACUACUUUACAGGGUUAUCAUGAGAAACUUUUGACAAUGCAUGCUUGGUUUAGUGGAAAGCACAAAUUGAGUAUUAGCUACUUUAUUAAAGUAGAAUGACUGCCUAACGGACCCUUUGGGUUGUGACAACUUCAAUGCUGAGGCUGAGAGUGAAAGUUUCCAGCCCUGCGGUUUUGAUAUAUUGGCUUUGCCUUUUAGGUUGGCUCUUGUAUGCUAGAAAAAUCUCUGAACUUUGUAUUGUUUGUGAAAUGGAAUCUGGACCUCUUCAGAAGGCUUGAGUACAGGUGGGCAAGCAGAGGGCCUCCAUCUCAAAGGCAGAAAAACAUGAUCCAGGAUUUAAGACGGCAAAAGAUCACAUAACUCAGGUGUUCAGCACCAAUGCCCAAAGAGGACAAUGAGCCAGCCACCCACAUCUGGUACAACUUACCAUCCAAUUUCAGGUAAGCCUCCUUCCACUGCUUCACAAUAACUAACAAGCCUUCCAAUGCCCACUUCCACAAGCAGACUUUAGGUCUUUUUCAGGGCAAAAUGACAUUUUUAUUGUAGUAUUUAUGUUUUGUAUUUCUGAAUCAUUUAACCUGUAUAGAACAGAGCUACCAUUUUUGCUAAAUUUCUCUCCUUUAAAAAAAUUGUCACUAAUGAAAAUUUUGAGUGUUACACCCUUACCUGCAUUUUUACCAUAAGCCCAAUGGCUUUUAUUGCACACUGUGGCGAUUUUUAGGAGCACAUAUAUCAUAUUGCAACAAAACUGAACACACAUAGGCACCCACCACGUGAGUUCAUACUGAUACUUCCAAUUCAAUUGCAGGACUCUAAGGUUUUUUAGUCACUUAACCUCAGCUCUAGUGCAUCUGCAUCUCCUUUCUUCCGUGCCAAAAGUUCUGACUCUCAAGGGGUUAGGAAAUGAUAAAAUAUUCCAUAAUUCGUAAUUUUCUUCAUCCCAUCUUAUACACACAACAGAAUAACAGUCCAAAAACUACUAAGACCUGUAAAAUUACUGAGAACUGUCCCAGACGGGAGCCUUGACUGGUCACUUCCAGGUUGGCAGGAUAAAGAUUACUCUGGCGCCCCUUAAGACCUUCUCACAGGUCUUCUUGCAGUUAUUCAUCAUUAUCGGAUUGCGUAAAAACCCUCAAAGGUUCACCUGCUGUUCCUAGGUCUGCUCUCACCUGCUGGCCAUCUUCUGUCAGAUACCCUCCCUCCCUCAGCUUCCUCUGGCAAAUCUGUGAAGAUACCUUGAAGAUCUUGAAGCUAUUG